GAUUGAUCCUAGUGACGUAAGACUUUUAGGGCAUCUCUUAUUCUCACUGGAGUCCCAAAGUAACUCUGGGAGGCGGAGCGGGGCUGAGUGCAGGGCUUUGUUCCUUCCUCCACCCUCAGACUGCCCAGAUCGCUAGAUCUCUUCCCUUCCUGCUCGGGCCUGGGAAAUCACUUAUAUUUGCUCAGGUUAUUAAGACUCGCCGAAUCCUGCCGCUUACGUCAUCCCAUCGAAUCUUUAACUUCUUUUUGCAGACAAGGACACGGCCUUGACAAGACUCACCAGGGCCCAGUGGAGUUGCUUGGGCUUCAGGUAAGACCUCUGGCUUCUCUCCAGGCUGGAGUUUGGGCUUGGUGGGUGGCUUGACUUUGGGCCUAGCUCCAGGUUUUGGGCCAGGGCCUAGAGAUGGGGGACCUGGCCUGGUGUCCUUCCCUGGGUUUGGGGCUGGCCCCUUUUCAGCAGUGCCUCGUGGCACGGUCCUGUAGGAGGCUGAGAAGCCGUCGGCGGUGACACUGAGAUCUGAGACGAACUGGACCAGAAGCUCAUUACCUUCUGAGGAGAUGGGGCUGCGGGCAAUGGGCCAUCAGGAGGUAUUAGAGCAGGCUGUGCACCCCUCUCCCUCCCAGUCUGGUGGUCUUUUGAUCUCUGCUCCUCAGUUGUCUGCAUUAGUUUCCUGACUUCACAGAAUCUCCAUUCAUCUCCUAGUCUCUGGAUCCACAGACCCCAGACCAAGCCUCCUCCUUGUCCACUACUUGUUCUUUGCUCUGGUUUGGAGCCCAGGAGCUCAGAUCCCAUCCCUCAGCCGAGUUCCAUCCCUCAAAGCCCUGGCCAAGCCAAGCUGACUCACCCAGAGAAGCGACUCUCACCCAGUGAAGUGAAGAUGCCCUGGCCACCGCCCACCUAGGUUCUGCCCCCUCACCCAGGGGAUGUGUCGCCGCAGAACUUUCCCAGCCUCUUGGCAUCAUCAUUCACUGCUCCGUUGAACACGCUGACCGAGUCAUAGCGGCAGUAGGUGUCUGGCUCCAGGUCAAACUUCCCAAAGGUCAGCGUGAUCACCUGGUGGAGGUGAAGGCUGCACUGGGGGACCACUCCUGGUGCCUCCCAGGUGCUUGCUGGAGUCUUAUCCACUCCCUGCAGCCCUCUGAGCCCCUCCCUUAAGGCAUUCUCACUGCUGCUCCUGCUUGGAAGGUCAUGCACUCCCAUAGUACCCUGCAGGAGUGUCCAUCACCUGCUCACUAGGGAGAGACUCCCACCUGCAUAGCACUACACAGUUUGCUAACACCUUGUACCUAGCUCUCCUCCUAAGACUUGUCACAGUUUGUAAUUUUAGCUUUUGUUUGAAUGCAAGCAGGGUCUGGGUCUGGUUUUGAUCCCCAGUUUAGGGCUCCAGACAGAAUGUUAAAUAAAUCUUCACUGGCUGGAUGUUGGA